GUGGCUAAAGCUUUGUUGAAGCAAUGCACUUUUAAUGCGUGGAUAUCUGUGUAGAUUAGCUAUU
rnacentral:tRNA from 1 species